ensembl:lncRNA
UGCAGAAUGGGCUCAAUAACCUGGUAGAAGAUAUGGAUGAAGAUAUGUGUGAGAUGUACACAGAAGCCUGUAGCCAAGCAAGCCUGCCCAGCAGUGCAGAACCAGAAGUGUCCAUGGGCCACUUGAAAUUGAAUUAACAGGUGGUGAACAGCUUGGCAGAAACAUGUUGAAUUUGGGCGUAGGUAACUAUUUUUGGUUAUUGGUCCAGUGUUCAAGUCCCUGGUUGGGCUGAAUGAGCCUGAAAACUGCUGACAAUAACUUUGGAUAUCAAUGACGCCUUAAUUUAGUCAGCUGCAAAUGUUAACAGCUACUUUCAUUUGCACGGUCAGGAUAAC